rnacentral:misc_RNA from 1 species
GGGAUCUUUGGUUUUGAAUCUGGAGAUUUUGGUGUUCCGAUACUACCCUUCAAGGAUUCUGUAUUGCCUGCAAACUGAUUGUAUAAUAAUUAGUAGUCAUGAUCUAAUGGUAGGAAACUGCAUGGUUCUGAAACGUCAUCAUAGUAACAUACCCGUGAAAGAGGUUGGACAAUGGGUAUCUCUCGUUGAACCACUAGUUGCGAGGCAUUCGCUUCCAUUUCUAGAGAAGGGAACAGAGGCGUUGCUGGCGG